rnacentral:rRNA from 1 species
GACAGAGGGGGCAAGCGUUGCUCGGAAUUAUUGGGCGUAAAGAGCUCGUAGGCGGUUUGUUGCGUCGGCUGUGAAAUCCCGAGGCUCAACCUCGGGUCUGCAGUCGAUACGAGCAAACUAGAGUGUUGCAGGGGAGACUGGAAUUCCUGGUGUAGCGGUGAAAUGCGCAGAUAUCAGGAGGAACACCGGUGGCGAAGGCGGGUCUCUGGGCAACAACUGACGCUGAGGAGCGAAAGCGUGGGGAGCGAACAGG